CUGUGGGAGACCAUGAACCCUCACGAAUAUCAGUGAAAACCAUGCCUGAUCUAUGCACGAGAAAGGCAUUCCUGAAUCCACAAGUUGCUUUUAUUUAUUUCUCUUUCAAAGUGCAAUAAAAUGUUGCUCGAGAGGGAGAGGUCUCGUAGGGCUGGGAGUAAGCCCCGCUGUACGCACUGAGGGUAGCAGUGGCUAUUUUCAUAGCGCUGUGAUGCUGAAGAGAGGUGUCAGCAUUGGGCACCGUGGAACCACCUCACCGCUGCCUGAAGUCGCAUCUGAAGUUUUCUUUGCACUUUAUUGCACAUGAGUUCUGCUCUUGGCUGCCGGUUCCUCCCUUCAGACUCCCAAAGACUUUCAGCCAGCUCAGCUUUUCCUGUUUACUUCCAUGUAAAAGGCAUCAUUGGUGAUAUCACUCCAAGCCUAGAAAAGAGCUCAAAUUGAAGGUACAGGCACUAAAAUUGGCUUUUGGACACCUGGGCACCCAUCCAGACCUCUCAGAGCCACCAUUCAGCAGCUGUAUUACUGGACUGAAUCUGUGAGCCCAGUCUUUCUAAAAUAAUAACGAUAAUAAUGACAAGCCCAUUGACCCCAAGAGUCAAAGGAAAAGAUGUCAGCAUAGAAGCUGCAAUAGCUCUAGGACUGAAAAGCUGAUGUGCC
ensembl:lncRNA